ensembl:lncRNA
GUUUAAGGGGGAUCAGGGCCUCUAGAGUUGGGGAAUCUGUGAAGGGAGUGCGGCGAUACUCCCUGUGGGUGGGGAGGACUGGCCAUGGCCUUCUGGGCGGGCCAGCUGGCCAGCAAGCUUGGGAUCUCUCUGGAACCUGGACCUGAGCUAAGAUGUGGGAAUCUGUCUUUGUGACCUCACAGGUCGGGAGGGUCAAGGAACUUUAUGGGCCCCCAGUCCUAAGCGGGGUAAGACAUAGCAUUCCCCUCGCUCCAUCCAAGGUGGGGGGGAGGUGUCAAGGAGGAUGUAAGCAAAAGAAAGCUGUUUGGCCUGGAGAGGAUGAGGCUGAGGGGCUGGACAGGGGAGGGGAAAGGGGUAUAGCGUCUCUGCUGGGGGAGGGGCUGGAACUCUGGAGAGGGACUAGAACCCAGAAGGCAGAACCAAGACCACAGUGGUGUUUAGGCUUGACAGCAGGAGAACUUCCUGUCUCUGGGUGGCCACUCAUGGGACAUCUUGGGGCUGAAGCUGGGUGUCCACCUGUCAGGGCAACCUCCAAGAGAUGAUGGCCUCUCCUAAAAAUGGCCUCCAAAGACCCAGGCUGCAUACUGUUUCCCUCUCAGAGGGGUCUUCUGCUGGAAAGUCUCCUGUGGGAGAAGGUGGCUCUCUACAUCUGGAAAGCCCUGUGCUCAAGCCCUGACUCAAUGUGGGCCUCAGGCUGCCUCCAGCUUCCCAUUGAGAAGGUUAGGGGCAGCUAGGUGGUGCAGUGGUUAAAGCGCUGGGCCUGGAGUCAGGAGGAUUUGAGUUCAAAUCUGGCCUCAGACGCUUACUAGCUGUGUGACCCUGGGCAAGUCACUUCACCCCAAUUGCCUUCCUCAGCCCCAAAGUGAGAAGAUUAGAGCUGAUGCCCUGAGCACCCAUGGAACCCUGCAGGUCUGUGGUCCUGUGGCGAGCAUCCCUGCUAGGUGGCUCAGGCUGAGGCUGAAGCCUCUUUUCCAGAAUCCUCAAUCCCAGGAAAGGCCCUCUGGAUGUAGCCUGGAUAGGCAAGGCCCUGGCUCCUCAGUGCCCAGAUGUAGCCUAAGAUCUCCUUCCUCCCCACCCUCCUGGAGAUCCUGGUACUUGACCCCAGUAAUCAGGCCCUGCUGGGGUCCCAAUCCUCCUACCCAAACAAUUGUCAUCACCAGGGCAAAGGGGCUGGAUUUGGAGUCAGGAAAGACAUCUGUUCAAAUUUUACCUCUAGCACUUGCCAGGCAAGUCAGGGAAUCUCUCUGACCCACCUCCACCCACAUUCUUGCCCACUCAGCACUUCUCUCAAGCUGUCCAUUGCUGUUAACCUGGGUCCUUCUGGCCUAUUCACCGAGGUGCACUCAGGCCAGGUUUGGAGAAUGCCGUCAGGGAAGGUGGCUCUCAUGUCUGCUUCCCCUCCGCUAGUCUGCUUCACCCUUCCCCCAGACUGUUUCACCCCUCCCCCAGUCUGCUUCACCCUUCCCCCAGACUGUUUCACCCCUCCCCCAGUCUGCUUCACCCUUCCCCCAGUCUGCUUCACUUCUCCCCCAUGUCUGCUUCACCCCUUCCCCCAUGUCUGCUUCACCCCUUCCCCCAGUCUGCUUCACCCCCUCCACCCAAGGUGCUGAUGGAUAGCAUCCACCCCAAUCCCUCAAGCUGGAGAGAAUGCCAGUUUUUAUUGAUCCGACUUUAUCUCUUACAUUUCUUUUGUACAAAACACAAGGAGAAAUAGCUACAAUAAAUAAGUACCAAAGUUAGGGCCA